UACGUAGGGGGCAAGCGUUGUCCGGAAUCAUUGGGCGUAAAGGGCGUGUAGGCGGCCCGGUAAGUCCGCUGUGAAAGUCCAGGGCUCAACCCUGGGAUGCCGGUGGAUACUGUCGGGCUCGAGUCCGGAAGAGGAGUGUGGAAUUCCUGGUGUAGCGGUGAAAUGCGCAGAUAUCAGGAGGAACACCAAUGGCGAAGGCGGCACUCUGGGACGUGACUGACGCUGAGACGCGAAAGCGUGGGGAGCAAACAGG
rnacentral:rRNA from 1 species